UCAAAGAUUAAGCCAUGCAUGUCUAAGUUCACACUGUCUCACGGUGAAACCGCGAAUGGCUCAUUAAAUCAGUCGAUGUUUAUUAGAUGAAAACUAUCCUACUCGGAUAACUGUGGCAAUUCUAGAGCUAAUACAUGCUUACCAAGCUCCGACCCUCGUGGAAAGAGCGCUUUUAUUAGUUCAAAACCAAUCGUCGUGCCCUUCGCGGGGUGCGGCGUCCCGAUUGGUGACUCUGGAUAACUUUGUGCUGAUCGCAUGGCCUUUGUGCUGGCGACGCAUCUUUCAAAUGUCUGCCCUAUCAAAUGUCGAUGGUACGUGAUAUGCCUACCAUGUUUGUAACGGGUAACGGGGAAUCAGGGUUCGAUUCCGGAGAGGGAGCAUGAGAAAGGGCUACCACAUCC
rnacentral:rRNA from 1 species